rnacentral:rRNA from 1 species
AUUGAACGCUGGCGGCAGGCCUAACACAUGCAAGUCGAGCGAGCGGCGGACGGGUGAGUAAUGUAUGGGGAACUGCCCGGGAGAGGGGGAUAACUACUGGAAACGGUGGCUAAGACCGCAUACUAUCGGAUGAACCCAAAUGGGAUUAGCUAGUAGGGUGGGUAACGGCUAACCUAGGCGACGAUCCCUAGCUGGUCUGAGAGGAUGAACCGCCAGACGGGGACUGAGACACGGCCCAGACUCCUACGGGUGGCAGCAGUGGGGAAUAUUGCACAAUGGGCACAAGCCUGAUGCAGCCAUGCCGCGUGACUGAAGAAGGCCUUCGGGUUGUAAAGUUCUUUCGGUAGCGAGGCGUUAACUACAGAAGAAGCACAGGCUAACUCCGUGCCAGCAGCCGCGGUAAUAC